AUGACUGAUAAAGAUUCGUGUUAUCAAAAGGCUCGUAAAUAAAGAGGAAAAAAGAAUGUGAAAUAAAAAAGAGCGUGAAUACAAGUCCAACCUUCUGGUUGGAGUCGAUCGAUAAAGCUUUGGGUGUUGAAAAGGUAAGAAAACGUUUGAAAUUCGAGCGGCUCGUCGAAAAAUCUCGAUGAUAUACGGCGCGUAAUGUCACAGUUAUGAGUCUAAUGACGUCUCAGGGUAAACGAGUAAUCGGGCUUUGGUGUCGAGAGAUAGAAAACCGUCGUGGACACUCCGCGCCGAAAAAUAGUGACGUGGGGGGUCUGAAAAGUGGCUCUUGUAAAUCAAACUUUCGUUUCGGGAGUCGACGUUCGGUGAAAAAAGAGGAGAAGAAAAAAAAACUAGAAAAUAAAGAGGCAAAGAAGAAUGGAUCGGCGUGGUCGGCGUUGUUAAACAGAAUAUUUCGUAUUGACCUGUUCGCGAAGGGGCGAGCCGGAAAAAUAUUUAAAAGAGGGAAAAAUGAGCGAGGAAAACUUAGCAGCUUAAGGGCACAUAUAGAGGUGUACAAUAAUGUCUAUGUAUAUAUAAAUCUUCCAAGAGCCUCACGAAAGGGGAGAGAAAGAGAGAGAGAGAGAAGAGCGAGGAGAACGGCGAGGGUGGAAGAUCGCAGUGGAAGGUAAGGAUCGUCGUGAGAAGAAGAGGCAGAGCGAGAGAAGAGCGAGGGGCUGCUUGAUCUUCGAGGCGAAGGCAGAAGAUCUAUAACUACGCAGAGCUUCGACGAUAUUUUCCUGUCUGGAGCCCCAGUCUGGUCGAGGAUCGAAAACGGGAUGAGGAUUUGGGAAAAAGGGCGAUGCGCGAUUAUCGCGAAAACAAGGAAAACGAUUGGCAAUCGAGGCAAACGCGACCAGCAGAUUCGUAAGUCCAAUCGAUUUGAUUGGCCGCGAUCGGGAAUCGUACUGAAAAGGAAGAAAAGUAGUAAAGCGUUGAAAAUGCUUGGUAACUAAGGACUCGGAACGAGGUUCGAAUCUCGGGUGGAUCCAAGGGCUUGAACAAAGUUGCUCAUUGUCGCGGCAUCUUGAGGGCGAGCAUAUUCCUCGGUUAAGCGAUAAUAACAAGCGUGUGGAUUUUUGGAAUAGUUUAUAAGGCGGAUGGCAUGGGUCAGAUGGUUGGUAUGUGUGCGGGAGAGGAGAGAGAGAGAGAGAGAGGGAGAAGAGGGAGGGAAAAAGAGUGGCGGAGAAUGAGGCGACGCUGAGGCGAGACGCAACCGUCGAGAUGCUGCUCCGAUGCUGUAGGUGGAUGUGCGAGGUUAUGUGUACGAGGAAAAGGAGACGAGAUGAAGCAAGAAGCUGAGACGACGAGACGGAAGGACGAAUGAGAGAGUAGAAAGAGUCAAAUAGUGAACUCUCGCGCGAGUCCCCAGAGUGCUCGGUACGCCUCUGUAUAGAUAUAGAUAUUAACGUGAAGGAUGAUAUGGUAUAGUACACACGAACGCGGGUCGAUGAGGAUGGUGUCUCUGGAGCGGGGGCGGCGGUCGAGAAGAGCCAACGCGAAGGCGUCAGAGAGGGAGAAAGAGAAAGAGAGAGAGAGAGAAAACCGGCGAGAGGGGAGGGGGGAGAGAAGAAAAAAGAUGACGAAAGAACGAGGGCGAGGGAGAUUGAGAAUGCAAGGAGAGAAAUGUAAGAAAGAGAGCGGCGUGCACAAGAGAUUGUGCGCAUGUGUCUUCGUGUUUGUGUGUAUCACGAACAUAUCUACAAAGCCUGUGCGAAGGCAGAUGCUUGAGAAUGAAAAGGGCGCGUGUCAAAGCUCGAUUGAGAGACUCGCCGUCCCUUUUGCCUCGGGUAAUCGAUACACGUGCAUUUGUAUAGUUUAAUAUACACGUCUAUAUAUUUGUGUACAUUUAUAUCGCUGCACAUCGCUCGUAUGCUUUGUCUAUACGUAUAUACUUUUAUAAUGGGCAGAGCGCACAGAACAAAACGAGACGACGAGUGAACGAGCACACGAGAACAGGACGAAGGGAGUCUUAUCGAAUGAGGGAAAGAGAAAGAGAGAAAAAGAAAGAAGGAAAGAGACCGAGAAAAGAGCAGACGCGCGCGAAGCCGGGCAAGUUUAAGGGAAGUGGGGCUCGGGACGAAGGUGAGAGGAGACUCGAAGAAAGAGAGAAAAGAUCGUAGCGGCAGUGGCAUUGACCCCGUAUAGUGUAGUAAGUAAGGUAAUGUGAGCAGCCAGUGCUAAAGGGUAUUUCCCAUAGAGAAGAAAUAUCUGUAGUAUGAAAUAUCUUCGCGUUACCUACCAACGCCAAAUAGCACCGCUAUCUUCCUGCCCGCGUAUAGCGUCCGGGGAACGAAAUAAGUGGAGCUGAAAAUGAAUAUUCGCUUUGGUAUCUCACGCUGAUUGUUCGAGAUUGCCUUGGGAAUUAUAAAAAUUCGAUGGCGCUUUGGAAUCAGUUAUGGAAAAGCUUACUUUUAUCUCUCAUUUCAUUUAUUUCGAUAUUUUCAAAAGUCAUUUCGAGUUGAGCGUCAAAUUAUUUAUUUCUGAUACACUUUUCCUUCGAAUACCAACAACCUGGUCCAUUUUUGUUCGACUGGGACCUUCGGCACCUGCGGCUGAUGGGCACAUCGUUAUUGUUCAUGCGCCGCGCAUUCGGUUAUUCGUACAACGUCAUUAUUUUAUUCGGCGCGAAGGCGAUCCAGUGAUCGAUGCUCGAGCGACUCUCCGGGGAGGACGAAUAUCGUUCAAAUUACCCGGGUGUACAACGAGCACAGGAAAAAAAGCAAGUGACCAGUUCCGGGGGAAAAAAUUAUCGAAAUUUGUGUGUCAAGUUUUCUCUAAAUGAACAUUCGACUCGUCAAAAUCAAGCAGUCUCGAACGUCACUCGCCAGAAUAUUCUCCAAUAAUAAUAAUUUUCUCGUAUAAAACGAGAGCCUCUCGCUACAGAGUUUUAUCCUCUUAGAUAAAUGUUUUUCAGUCUCUCCACGCUGAAUUUUCAACCUCUCAUUCGCCUCAUGAAAAAAGUCUCUGUGCAUUGGAAAAAACAUAAUCUGACGAAGACUAAGAAAUUAUACGUCGUGAAAAAAACGUCGCGUAACUGAAUCUAACCAAGUGGUAAUACCCAAUAUGUCCACGACGGAUACUAUACGUAUAAGAAGUGUCGCAAAAGACGCACAAGAGAAAAUUGAGAGGCGCUGACAAGGCCGUCUAGCAAUUCACUGCGCACCGUCUCUUCUAUUGCUCCUAUUCUCUGUACACGCUCUCUCUCUCUCUCGCCCCUCCCUUGCCUCCCGCUCGUGUUUACUCUCUUGCGUAUAUCUCUUUCGAGGUUCUUCUAGAUGGAUGAUGAACGUCACUGCGGCUCGGGUCUUGAGCCUGUCCAAUUUACAACAUCAAAAGUUAUGAAAUCGUUUCAACAAAGAAUAAUUAUGAAUAAUUAUUGUGAAAUAAACGAAAUGAGAAUUUUUC
rnacentral:lncRNA from 1 species